CAGCCCCAGGUGCUUUGAUUCAGAUUGCAGCUGGGAUUUGUUUUUCUAUGAAGAGGCUGUAACAACUGCUUUUAUCAUCUACUGUAAGUAUAAUAACAGCAGGAAAUCAGGCAGCACGGGUGAAAUUAAGCUCUGUGACAAAUGAUUUGGUUUCUUUCCAUUAACAAUCAUGAUUUGACCUGAACUGCCUCAAUUAAGGGGUUGGAGGGGGGAGCCCUUGGUUUGCUCGUUAUAUAUGCAAGAGAGAGAGAACCGAAGGGAAACAGAGAAACAGAUGAGAGAGAGCGAGAUGAAACAGAAAACAUGACAGGAUGUUAAUUUGCUGUGGCAUAUAUGACCCAAGUCACAAGUUUGACUCUUCCAACCCAGAGGCAAAGGCAGUUUAGUGAGAAGAGACUAUUCCAGAAGAGCUGAGAGCCUCCAACGCUGUCAUCUGCCCUCAGAGUUAGGACUACCUAAGAACAUCAGCAAAGUCUUCAAAACAGAUUCUCACCAAAGGGUACUUCCUAUCCCGUGCACAGGCCUUGCAAAGCAAAGAUUACCACAGACUGCCUUUAUGGAGCCCUUCUGCAUUUCCCCAUGACUUAAACAAUGGUGGACCAAGAGUUGGUUCAGAAAACAUCCUUUUUGUAUAUGUUGACUCAGUUGGGGACAUCCUUGUGAACCAUGGCUCUGGCUGGAAGACUCAAUGCUGGAAACUGCCUCUGGUCCCAGUGGGCUCCUCUCUCCCUCUGCUUCAGGUGGAAGUAUGAAUGGACCUCCUGGCUGUAUUUGCACAUUCUCUGAAUAGUAAAAUGACUUGUCCAGCAGCC